rnacentral:piRNA from 1 species
UAAAGGUCAAGUUUUCACGCU